rnacentral:sRNA from 1 species
GUCGUAUCGGUUAGAUCGGGAUACUCAUCAAAUAAUCAGAAAAACCGGGAUGGCUUCUCUUGCCAAUGGCGGGCCACGUCUUCCGCAAGGAGGAUAGCAGUAAUGCCGGUGGAUUACAACGACGGAGAGCGCUCAACUCAUAUUCUACUCGGAGUUUUCAUCACAAUCACGGUACGACCC